GUAAGAGAGCGGUACCGAAAGGACCUGAGGCUGUCAGGAAUGUUGGGAGUUGAAGUCCAAAACACCUGGAGGGCCAAAGUUUGCCCAUGCCUGCCUUAAGAUGUCUAUAUUUGGGGACAUUCCAGGUGCUUAGACUACAGACCCCACAGUCUCCUAUGGUUGGUUGUGCUGCCUUGGGCUGACAGAUGUCCAUAACACCUUGAGGGGACAAUGUUCCCAGAUCUGGCUGGGAAGAACCUGGCUGGGAAGAUUCCAGUUCUGACUGGGAAGGUAAAAAACCCAAGUUUUCUUCUUCAUCAGGCAUCACAAUGUCAUGAGCAGGACUACAAGGCCCAUGAGUCAUCACACUAUCCCCCUCCUCAAGCCCCCUCCCAAACCGGGACUCUCUCCCCAAGGCGCGAGGUCGUGGCUUGGCGGGAUAGGUCUGAUGAAAGCGACGGGUUAGAUCAGGAGCAUGGACUGUGGAGGCGUCUUCCCAAGAGCGUUCCUCAGGGCCAAAACCCACCCAGUCAAUGAGAUAUUGCAGGCGGCGGCGGUGAAAGCGAGAAUCCAAAAUGUCCUGAACCUCGAACUCGUCCUCCCCAUCCACCAAAACAGGGACGGGGGCCGGCCGGUUUACAUCUGGCCGCACACCAUCCGCCGGAAGGAGCAGGGAGCGGUGAAACACUGGGUGAAUGCGCAUUGAACGCGGAAGUUGGAGUUUGAAAGUCACGGGGUUUAAUUGCGCCACCACUGGAUAGGGGCCAAUGAAACGGGCAUCUAACUUCCGGCAAGGGCGAUGGGAGGGCAGAAAGCGAGUGGACAGAAAAACCCGAUCUCCUACCUUGAUUUCGGGGCCCGGCUGGCGAUGUUUGUCCGCGUGACGUUUAUAGUCCUCCUUGGCUUGGUCCAAUUGCUGGAGCAAAAGUUGUUGCACCGCUGUGAGUUCCUGCAGCCAAUCCUCUGCUGCGGGAACUUCUGAAGUUUCAAUGACAGGGGGAAAGAAACGUGGAUGGAAACCGUAGUUUGCAAAGAACGGCGUUCUUUUGUAGAAGCCUGGACUCCAUUGUUGUAGGCAAACUCCGACAGUGGUAACAGAGA
rnacentral:lncRNA from 11 species